AAGGGUUUUUAACUUCAAAGUCAUCGAAAGGUGCUUUUUCAGAAUUGACACGAUGCCGCGGCAAUGUAUCCCUGAAUGUCUCUUCAGAACGCGGGGCCCAACAAUGAAAACACGCUCUUGAUAAGGCGUGUAAUGGGCAGAAUUAUGCUAAUCGAGGAAAACCUUACAGGGAGUCUUUUGAGGUGUUGCUUCUAACGCUGAAACACAUUGGAAUUCAACAGAUGAGUGACUGGUAACUUGCCAUCCGUGACUUUCAGUGCCUAAAAUGAAUGAUGGAUGGUCCUAGGAACCCCCUUGUCCCUUUGACUGACAUCAUAAUGAGCAGAGAAAGACGCCAGGAAGAACAAACUCUAAGAGCAUGAGGCCAGGGCGAGAAGAAAAUAGAUGAGUUUGGUUAAAUGGGCAAAUUCCGCAACUGGAUGUCUGAGUUUGAGCCUGUGUUCAUGCCUUACCAAGUGGGUGCCCGUGUGUCAAGUGUUCAACUGCGAUCUGCUCCCAUCGCCUCAUCCAGGGGGACGUUCCACAAGCAUAACGAUAACAAUCACUACAACCUUAAUGUCUGCAUUAUAGUGGGUAUCAAUGCCUCUCAUGUGAUGGUUGGAAACAAUAAAAGA